rnacentral:rRNA from 1 species
CCUACGGGCGGCAGCAGUGGGGAAUAUUGCACAAUGGGGGAAACCCUGAUGCAGCGACGCCGCGGGUGGGAAGACGGUCCUCUGGAUUGUAAACCACUGUCCCCAGGGACGAAGAUGACGGUACCUGGGGAGGAAGCUCCGGCUAACUACGUGCCAGCAGCCGCGGUAAUACGUAGGGAGCGAGCGUUGUCCGGAAUUACUGGGUGAAAAGGGAGCGUAGGCGGGACUGCAAGUUGGGUGUCAAAUCUACCGGCUCAACCGGUAGCCGCACUCAAAACUGCAGUUCUUGAGUGAAGUAGAGGCAGGCGGAAUUCCUAGUGUAGCGGUGAAAUGCGUAGAUAUUAGGAGGAACACCAGUGGCGAAGGCGGCCUGCUGGGCUUUUACUGACGCUGAGGCUCGAAAGUGUGGGGAGCAAACAGGAUUAGAUACCCCUGUAGUC